CACAAUUAAAAAAGUAGGCAAAUAACUUGAAGACAUAUUAUUUUAAAGAAUAUUCACUAGUGGUGUGUGCAUCACCCAGCUUCAACAGUUAUCAAGAUUUUACUAUCCAUAUUAUAUCCAGUUCCCUGCUUAUUUCUAUAUUUUUGUUAGGCUAUUCAUAAAGCAAAUCCAGCCACCAUUCCAUUUCAACUGUAAAAUUUUCAGUCCGUGUGUACCAAUGUGAUAAAUUGUGUCUAUGCUGCUGUGUAUAUGUCCAGAAGUUUAAGCGAUUGCUUUGAACCACUGGCUAGUAUUUUAGAGUGAGUAAACACCUUUAUUUAUUUGUCCCCAGAGAUGAAUACCUAGUCUCCAACUAUCCACUUCCACAGAAUUACUAUGAAGACCAGCCAUGUUCAUUUGCUCUUGGAUUUUAUCUGAGGAUUUUUCUGGGAUACAUACUCAAAAAGAUGAUGACUAGCUCAGGUGAUGUUCAUGGAGACUAAAUGUUAACAGAAGAUGCUAAACCUCUGGCUUUCAUGGUCUACUAGGAAACACAGAUGAAUGAAUAAGAGAAAUGACUCUGGCAACAAAGAUUCUGGUGCUGAGAAACAAGAGUAUGGUAAAACUGGCAAAUGGUUCUCUAAGAAAUAGCCUCAUGGAAUUGAUUAAAUCCUGAGCCCUUAACUAGGGUUAAGAUCAAAUCAAGG
rnacentral:lncRNA from 1 species